rnacentral:misc_RNA from 1 species
GACACAUUUUAGAGAUGAGUUCCGGUUCUCGCAGCAGCUGAGGGGGAUGCUGAUAAGGCAUCCGGAUAUGUUCUAUGUGUCGCUCAAGGGGGAUAGGGAUUCGGUGUUUUUGCGGGAGGCGUACCGUGAUUCUCAGCUGGUGGAGAAGGAUAAGAUGCUGCUGUUGAAGGAGAAGAUGCGGGCGCUGGUUGCGGUUCCACGAUUUAAGAAUCGAC